rnacentral:rRNA from 1 species
AGCUCCAAUAGCGUAUAUUAAAGUUGUUGCGGUAAAAAGCUCGUAGUUGGAUUUCUGUUGAGAACGACCGGUCCACACAACGUGUGCGCAUCUGGUUCGGUCUCGGCAUCCUUCAGUUAAAUGUUACUGCGCUUGAUUGCGUGGUGCAGUUACUGAACUUUUACUUUGAGGAAAUUAGAGUGUUCACGGCAGGCUAUCGCCAGAAUACAUUAGCAUGGAAUAAUACUAUAGGAUCUUGAUCCUAUUUUGUUGGUUUCUAGGAGCAAGAUAAUGAUUAAUAGGGACAAUUGGGGGCAUUCGUAUCACUGAGUCAGAGGUGGAAUUCUUGGAUUUCAGUGCGACGAACUACUGCGAAAGCAUUUGCCAAGGAUGUUUUCA